GACGAACGCUGGCGGCGUGCCUAAUACAUGCAAGUAGAACGCUGAAGCGAGGAGCUUGCUCUUCUUGGAUGAGUUGCGAACGGGUGAGUAACGCGUAGGUAACCUGCCUUGUAGCGGGGGAUAACUAUUGGAAACGAUAGCUAAUACCGCAUAACAAUGGAUGACACAUGUCAUUUAUUUGAAAGGGGCAAUUGCUCCACUACAAGAUGGACCUGCGUUGUAUUAGCUAGUAGGUGAGGUAAUGGCUCACCUAGGCGACGAUACAUAGCCGACCUGAGAGGGGGAUCGGCCACACUGGGACUGAGACACCGCCCAGACCCCUACGAGAGGCAGCAGUAGGGAAUCUUCGGCAAUGGGGGCAACCCUGACCGAGCAACGCCGCGUGAGGGAAGAAGGGUUUCGGAUCGUAAAGCUCUGUUGUAAGUCAAGAACGGGUGUGAGAGUGGAAAGUUCACACUGUGACGGUAGCUUACCAGAAAGGGACGGCUAACUACGUG
rnacentral:rRNA from 1 species